GACGAACGCUGGCGGCGUGCCUAAUACAUGCAAGUCGAGCGAAGUUUGUCUGGUUUUUUCCCUAGAAAGACUUGGCGGCGGGUGUGUGACUCACACGUAACCUACCUGCCUCAUAGACUGGGCCAUUUAUUGGAAACGAUAGCUCAUACCGGAUGACAGUGUUUCUCGCAUUUGAGAUAUUUAAAAGUUUUUUAUCCUUACACUAUGAGAUUGCUUUGUGGUGGAUUAGCUGGUUGGUGGGGUAAAGGCCCACCAAGGCGACGAUGCAUAGCCGACCUGAGAGGGUGAUCGGCCACACGGGAACUGAGACACGGCCCAGACUCCUACGGGAGGAAGAAGUGGGGAAUCUUGGGCAAUGGGCGAAAGCCUGACGGAGCAAGGCGGCGUGAGUGAAGAAGGAGUUCGGUUCGUAAAGCUCUGUUGUUAGGGAAGAAGGGAUAUGGAGUAAAAAGUCAAGUAAGUGACGGUACCUAACCAGAAAGCGACGGCUAACUACGUG
rnacentral:rRNA from 1 species